GAUGAAGAACGUAGCGAAAUGCGAUACGUAAUGUGAAUUGCAGAAUUCAGUGAAUCAUCGAGUCUUUGAACGCACAUUGCGCCCCCUGGUAUUCCGGCGGGCAUGCCUGUUCGAGCGUCAUUUCAACCCUCAAGCCCCCGGGUUUGGUGUUGGGGAUCGGCUCUGCCUUCUGGCGGUGCCGCCCCCGAAAUACAUUGGCGGUCUCGCUGCAGCCUCCAUUGCGUAGUAGCUAACACCUCGCAACUGGAACGCGGCGCGGCCAUGCCGUAAAACCCCAACUUCUGAAUGUUGACCUCGGAUCAGGUAGGAAUACCCGCUGAACUUAAGCAUAUCAAUAAGCGGAGGA
rnacentral:misc_RNA from 1 species